GUAGGUGGCAAGCGUUGUCCGGAAUUAUUGGGCGUAAAGCGCGCGCAGGUGGUUCUUUAAGUCUGAUGUGAAAGCCCCCGGGCUCAACCGGGGAGGGUCAUUGGAAACUGGGGAACUUGAGUGCAGGAGAGGAAAGUGGAAUUCCACGUGUAGCGGUGAAAUGCGUAGAUAUGUGGAGGAACACCAGUGGCGAAGGCGACUUUCUGGCCUGUAACUGACACUGAGGCGCGAAAGCGUGGGGAGCAAACAGGAUUAGAUACCCUGGUAGUCCACGCCGCAAACGAUGAGUGCUAAGUGUUGGGGGGUUUCCGCCCCUCAGUGCUGCAGCUAACGCAUUAAGCACUCCGCCUGGGGAGUACGGUCGCAAGACUG
rnacentral:rRNA from 1 species